CCUACGGGAGGCAGCAGUAGGGAAUCUUCCACAAUGGACGAAAGUCUGAUGGAGCAAUGCCGCGUGAGUGAAGAAGGUUUUCGGAUCGUAAAACUCUGUUGUUGAAGAAGAACAUAUGUGAGAGUAACUGUUCACGUACUGACGGUAUUCAACCAGAAAGCCACGGCUAACUACGUGCCAGCAGCCGCGGUAAU
rnacentral:rRNA from 1 species